UGGUUUCAGUCAUCUUCUUUAUGGCCUCGGCAUGAUUUUUUUUAUUCUUACCCCAAUAGUUCUCAGGUGAGGGACCCAAUCCUACCAUUCAAAUAUGCCCAUUUUUCUCUUGUCCUAUGAUUGUUGCAUAUAGAUCAUCAGGAGCGACACCUUUUUUAUUUAUGAUCUUGUCCUAUACACUUAAUUGUACAUAAGGACUUCAG
rnacentral:lncRNA from 1 species